rnacentral:rRNA from 1 species
GAUGAACGCUAGCGGCAGGCCUAAUACAUGCAAGUCGAGGGGUAGAGCGGUGCUUGCACUGCUUGAGACCGGCGCACGGGUGCGUAACGCGUAUGCAACCUACCUUAAUCAGGGGGAUAGCCCGGAGAAAUCAGGAUUAACACCGCAUAAAAUCACAGUACCGCAUGGUACAAUGAUCAAAUAUUUAUAGGAUUACGAUGGGCAUGCGGGUCAUUGGCGAGUUGGCGGGGUAAUGGCCCACGAAGGCGACGAGGACUAGGGGAUCUGAGAGGAUGACCCCCCACACUGGUACUGAGACACGGAACAGACUCCUACGGGAGGCAGCAGUAAGGAAUAUUGGUCAAUGGAGGCAACUCUGAACCAGCCAUGCCGCGUGCAGGAAGACGGCCCUAUGGGUUGUAAACUGCUUUUAUACCGGAAUAAACCUAUCUUCGUGAAGGUAGCUGAAUGUACGGUAAGAAUAAGGAUCGGCUAACUCCGUGCCAGCAGCCGCAGUAACAC